rnacentral:misc_RNA from 1 species
UUAAUAAAAUUUUUAGGUACUCAGACAACACUAAUAUUCAAGAGUUUGGGGUUCUCUGGUAGGCACGAACCAGCCAAAGCCGGUACAGACAGAGCCUGUGGCCUACCAAAGCAACGUAUAGUAAGAUAUUCAAGGGUGCGAGGUCUACCCAGAGGGCAGAGGACUCUGUAAUGAUCCUUCCGCUGGUUCACCAACGGAAA